CUAUGUAAGUGACGAAUCACCAAAUCCUACUCCUGAAACGAAUGUUACACUAUAUGGUAACUAACGAAUUUAAAUAAAAACUUGAGACUACAAAAAGAAUAAAGUGAAUAUAAAAACAAAUAAAUGUAGGACACCCGGCUGACUCGGUGGAGCAUGGGACUCUUGAUCUUAGGGUUGUGAGUUCGAGCCCCACGUCGGGCAUGGAGCCAAUUAGAAACAUUUAAGAAAUAACUACGCUCCUAUGCAUCGAGUGGUCUGUACAUGAUAAAGUUCAGUAAGAACCUGACGGGUGUUAAAUUAUUAAUCCCUUCUUUUCAGCCUUUAGGCUCCAUCCCCGCAGAUCCAGUUCCUCCACUAGGUGGCAGAACGUCAACAGCCAUCAUCCAUGGAAGCGGCGCCUCCCAGUCUUCCUCCUCAUUCAAGAUGCCCCCAAAUAUGCCAGAGCCCAUAUUAGACGGAUAUGCUUCAUGGGAUCUUCCUUGCCAGAGAGCUAUUUCUUAUUCUUCUGUGAUUCCUGAUCAACACCAAGAAACACAGGACAAGAACAUAAAAGAAGCAAGUGUGUUUUAAUUUAUGCUCUGCAAACCUAGAUAUUAGCCAUGGUACCACAAUAUCCCAAGCCAAAAUACCAAACAAUGAUGGAUUUAUUGUUUCCCUAAUUUAAAACAAGCCUGAUUUAUUUUUAAAAAUGCAACCUCAAGACACAACUCACCAGACGUGAUAUGGAAUGUAUUAUAUGCCUAACCAAAAAACAAAACGCUACGCGGUACAGUGGAUUUGAAAAUUAUCUUGCUAUUAAUAGAACUCCCGGAUGGCUGUGAUCUGUUGGAUUUGAUACAUUCAGGUUUUGGCAGCUGCUGGGACUGAAAACAAGACGUUCCAUACGUUAUUACUUAAUAGAGAAACUAGGUCAUAAAAUAGCCCUUUGGUGAAUUUUUUCCAAAAGGUUUUGAAGAGCCCAAUUUCAUCUUUAAUAAGUCCGCGUUGCUGAGUAUGUUUGGCAAAGCAGCAGUGUGAUUAACAGACUCCUUCUCUGGAACUUGUGUAAAAUUGAGAGCAGCUUGGGGUGCCCCGUUACUGUCAUCUCUUCAGCUGGCAUUAUACGCCCACAACAAAUAUUUGUUGACUCCCCGAAGCGCCCUUCUCUUUCCUUUUAUAUUUUGAGGGUCUGUCACUGAGCUACUGACCGAAAUGUUUGGACUGAGGAGAUUUACAAAUAUAUCUGUUGGACAGAUCACAUUUUUAAGAGUUUAAGGUAAUACUGUUCUAUUCUGCUGGGUUCAAAAUCACUUUUAAAUGUUUAUUUGGAAAACAUUUCUACCUACUGGCCCCAUUAAAAAUAAGCUUUUUUUUUUUUUUUAGUUUUUAUUUAAAUUCCGGGAUAGUUACCAGAUAGUGCAAUAUUAGUUUUAGGUGUACAAUCUAGGGACUCAGCACUUCCACACAUCACCUGGUGCUCAUCACAAGUACUUUCCUUCAGCCCCAUCACCUGUUUCACCCAUCCCCCAAACAAGCUUUUUUAAAAAACUGAGAUAACCCCCCCAAAAAAAUAGCUUCAGUGAUUUUAGGG
rnacentral:lncRNA from 12 species